rnacentral:rRNA from 1 species
GACGAACGCUGGCGGCGUGCUUAACACAUGCAAGUCGAGCGGUAAGGCCCUUUCGGGGGUACACGAGCGGCGAACGGGUGAGUAACACGUGGGUGACCUGCCCUCAGCUCUGGGAUAAGCCCGGGAAACUGGGUCUAAUACCGGAUAUGACUCCAUGACGCAUGUUGUGGGGUGGAAAGCCUUGUGCGGCUGAGGAUGGGGCCCGCGGCCUAUCAGCUUGUUGGUGGGGUGAUGGCCACCAAGGCGACGACGGGUAGCCGGCCUGAGAGGGCGACCGGCCACACUGGGACUGAGAUACGGCCCAGACUCCUACGGGAGGCAGCAGGUGGGGAAUCUUGCGCAAUGGGCGAAAGCCUGAUGCAGCGACG